UGAGUCUCCUUCAUAUCAAUGAGUAAAGGUC
rnacentral:piRNA from 1 species